rnacentral:rRNA from 1 species
ACGGGUGAGUAACACGUGACUAACCUACCCUUGAGUGGGGGAUAACUGAGGGAAACCUUAGCUAAUACCGCAUAAUACCCACGGGUCAAAGGAGCAAUUCGCUCGAGGAGGGGGUCGCGGCCGAUUAGUUAGUUGGCGGGGUAAUGGCCCACCAAGACGAUGAUCGGUAUCCGGCCUGAGAGGGCGCACGGACACACUGGAACUGAAACACGGUCCAGACUCCUACGGGAGGCAGCAGUGGGGAAUUUUGCGCAAUGGGGAAAACCCUGACGCAGCAACGCCGCGUGGAGGAUGAAGUCCUUCGGGACGUAAACUCCUUUCGAUCGGGACGAUUAUGACGGUACCGGAAGAAGAAGCCCCGGCUAACUUCGUGCCAGCAGCCGCGG